GAUGAACGCUAGCUACAGGCUUAACACAUGCAAGUCGAGGGGAAACGACAUCGAAAGCUUGCUUUUGAUGGGCGUCGACCGGCGCACGGGCGAGUAACGCGUAUCCAACCUGCCCAUCACUUGGGAAUAACCUUGCGAAAGUAAGACUAAUACCCAAUGAUAUCCCACGAAGGCAUCGGAAUGGGAUUAAAGAUUUAUCGGAGAUGGAAGGGGCUGCGUCUGAUUAGCUUGUGGGCGGGGUAACGGCCCACCAAGGCAACGAUCCGUAGUGGUUCUGAGAGGAAGGUCCCCCACAUUGGAACUGCGACACGGUCCAAACUCCUACGGGAGGCAGCAGUGAGGAAUAUUGGGCCAUGAGCGAGAGCCUGAACCAGCCAAGUAGCGUGCAGGAAGACGGCCCUAUGGGUUGUAAACUGCUUUUAUAAGGGAAUAAAGUGGGUCACGUGUGACUUUUUGCAUGUACCUUAUGAAUAAGGACCGGCUAAUUCCGUG
rnacentral:rRNA from 1 species